UAAGAGAGUUAAAGUAAAUACUGAGAAUUGAAUAAAUACUGCCUGCAGUGGAAAUUCUGUAUGAACACAUGGCAUGGAAUAAGAUCACGUCUUUGGUGUCUCAUACAAGAAAAGAUUCUGAGCUUCCUUUUUUAUAACAACUUCCUCUUUAUAUUGUAUGAUGUUCAGUGAUCAGUGAAUGCAGUAACUAUCUCCAGUGUACAGCCUCAUCUCAGAGACAAUUCAGGACUGUGUCUCAGACACUCUGUACACCUGAGCACCUCUUCACAUUGGCACAAGCUCCAAGCUCCUUCAAAACAUUUCAGUGAUUCAUUCCUUCAUAAUCACUGUUCUGCUGAUCAUCAGCUCCUUCUUAUUUACUUUACCAAAUUGUUGAGUCCUUGCUGAGUCCCAGCUUUAUGAAGUCUUGUCCCGGUUGCAUUUUUAACCUUUACAAAAGAAAGCAGGUCAGCUGUAAUCAACCAACCAAACAGGAUGAGUGAAGACUUACAACAAGACACAUGAAUCCAUCCAGUGCAUCAUUUCAAAUUACUAUUCAGAUUAAUAAUAACCUAAAUACCCCACUGAAUGGAAAGUGCUGCCUGCCCUCGUCCACAUGCAGGAGCUCACAGACACCCAGAAUUACCCACGUUGAUGUGAUUGACAGGUGGAUUCCAUCAAUCUGUUCUCUACAUCACUUUCGUAUCCUAGUGGGUCACAGGGAACUUGGAGUCUAUCCCAAGAAACUCUGGACAGAAUGCCAGUAUAUAACAGGCACAAUCACACACCCUCAGAAAUACUGUACCAAACAACCCUGUCUUUGGACUGGGGGAGGAAGCUGGAGAACCCAGAGGAAACCCCCAAAGCACAGAGAGAACAUACACAGGGCAGAGGCAGGAUUCAAAUCAUCAACCUUGUAGAUGUGAGGCAAGUGUGCUAACCACCAAGCCACUGUGCAUCAUUAGUAGGUGGACUGUUCAGUGUUAAUGAGUGUGUGAACGUGACGACUUCCCAUCCUGCCUGUAGUCCUAGAUCACACCUAGUGUUCCUGGCAGAGGCUCCAGAUCCCAUCGUGAGCCUGACCAUUUUUUUAUUAUUAUUAAAUAUAUUAUAAAGAAUAUAUUAUUUAUUAAUAAAUUAUAAAUAAUAGUAAGGAGAAUAAGACGAAGUUAUCAUUCAGGAAAUGAAAGCAGAGUUUUUGGUUUGUGUCUUUUGUUAAUUUAUUUUUACUUUUACUUUCAUAAUUUUGGAUCAGCUCAUACUGGGUUUAUGUAUUUUUACUUUAGUGUUGGAAAAGAAUCUGAAGCUAUAGGUAAUAUUUUACCUGAGUAUUUUCCGAGAGAUAAUAAUAAUCAUCACGUGAAUAUUUAUAAUCAUUAUUUCAGUUGCCAGCUCUGCCGUACACUGAGCUAUACAUUUGAGUCACGAGUACAGCUCAGCUUGACACGUCGCCCUUCACAAGAUGCCAGGAAGAUGAACGUCGAAGCAUCAAGCAUCUCUUCUACUUAAAAAUUCUUUUCUGUACUUUUUUAUUCUGGCAUCCAAGUAGUGGAAUGAAACUCCCAUCUGUCCAAACACUCGAGCCCCUUGCUGUCUUUCAGUAUAAAGACCCAUCAUGUUAAUAAGCGCUUAGAAAAAACAACAACAUUUAAAUAAAUAAAUAAAUAGAUAGAUAGAUAGAUAAAUGCAAAUAACGACAAGAAACUGUUUCCACAUCGCAAUAUCAACCAUGUGCUAUAUAAAUCUAAUGAUAAAACAUUUCUAAUCAAAGUUUAGUGCAGAACAAAACAUGAACAUGGUCCAACCUGUAACUUCUAAUGUUACCUGAGUUAGCAGUUCUUUAGAAACCAGUUUGAAAAAUGAUUGUUUUUUUUUUUUUCAUCUUUUGUAGAAGAUCACAUCGCAUUGAGAUAUAUGUCCACUGAGACAGGGAAGGGGUUCUCAUAGAGACUCAGAGGACUCAAGAAAACAACACUCAUACAUCAGAAGCAUACUCGGAGGAGGAUCAAACCAUUUUGUCACGGAAAAGAAAGUCUGUACUCCCCCCUCUUCUCCCACCAUAGCAGCGCUUUACACUUGCCCUGAUGAAUUGGGCCACUUUCAUUGUAGUAGCGGUUUGAGGUAGAAUGAUCUCUCAUUUCACUACGAUGACAAACUCUAGUGUACUGAGAUGAAUGUGGACCUCACAGCACACAGUUUCCACCUCGCUGACCCAGCGCACAGUGUGGUUUUGAAUGAAGGCAGGCCAAAGCAUUAAAUGUGGCAAGUAAGGGAAGUACUAUUUAUAGCACACACGUCUGUACGGAAGUGUCACUUAUUACUACACAGUAAUACGUAACUAUCACAGUUCCAUUUUAAAAGCUUAUUUAUUGUCUAUUUCAUGUUCAUUUAUCUAUUACUUGUAUAUUUAUUUCAAUUUAAACCAAAAGAAAUUGUGCUUAAUGCUGAGUGAAUGACAUCAUACAUUGACCUCAUACACAAUACACCAUACAGGGUGUAAUAUGUGACAUCAUACGAGAAUGAGAAUAGAUGGUAUUUUUACACAAAACAGUCUCUAGAGUUAACACGGAAUGGUGAAAAUGUCCAGUGAGCAGCGGUUUUGUGAGUGGAAAUUUCUUGAGAAAUUGUAGAGAAGAAUGUUUACUUCUUCAAUUUUUUUACACAUCUGAGCAGUUGAGGGUUAACGGGCUUGCUCAAAGGCCGGGUAUCUGGUGGGGGGUUUGAACUCACAAGCUUCUGAUCAGAAGACUAAUCAUCAUUAAUAUUCAGCUACUACUCAAUAAUCACGCUGAGAAAAGCAUCUCAUAAAUCUUGAAGAAAAUGCAUAUGUUCCACUGUGGCCUUGUUCCCCAAACAAAGGCUGAGAAUAAGAAGAAAAAUGUGUUUCCAAUGGCUGAAUGUUUGGGCUAGUUUCUGGUGUUGGUGAGUGUGGUUAGUGAGAUUUACUUGGGGUGGCAAUGUUUUGUUGAUAUCUGGCAACACCAGCUUUAUCAAAUAGUGAACAAAAUACAAUUGGAAUAACAAUCUGCACUACAGUCAGAAGAUUAAACACAAAAUCACAAUAAAACACAAACGUAAUCUC